rnacentral:tRNA from 1 species
AAAGAUUUAAGUUAAGUAAACUAAUAGCCUUCAAAGCUUUAAUUGAUCUACAAUCAAUCUUUAC